CCUACGGGAGGCAGCAGUGGGGAAUUUUCCGCAAUGGGCGAAAGCCUGACGGAGCAAUACCGCGUGAGGGAGGAAGGCUCUUGGGUUGUAAACCUCUUUUUUCAGGGAAGAUAAUGACGGUACCUGAGGAAUAAGCAUCGGCUAACUCCGUGCCAGCAGCCGCGGUAAUACGGAGGAUGCAAGCGUUAUCCGGAAUGAUUGGGCGUAAAGCGUCCGCAGGUGGUUUUAAAAGUCUGUUGUUAAAGCGUGAGGCUUAACCUCAUAAGGGCAAUGGAAACUGUAAGACUAGAGUACGUUCGGGGCAAGGGGAAUUCCCAGUGUAGCGGUGAAAUGCGUAGAGAUUGGGAAGAACACCGGUGGCGAAAGCGCCUUGCUAGGCCGUAACUGACACUGAGGGACGAAAGCUAGGGGAGCGAAUGGGAUUAGAUACCCCGAGUAGUCCUAGCCGUAAACGAUGGAUACUAGGCGUUGUCUGUAUCGACCCGGACAGUGCCGUAGCUAACGCGUUAAGUAUCCCGCCUGGGGAGUACGCACGCAAGUGUGAAACUCAAAGGAAUUGACGG
rnacentral:rRNA from 1 species